rnacentral:rRNA from 1 species
UACGUAGGGGCCGAGCGUUGUUCGGAAUUACUGGGCGUAAAGGGCGCGUAGGCGGUACUUCAAGUCAGGCGUGAAAGCCCCGGGCUCAACCUGGGAACCGCGCUUGAGACUGGAGAACUAGAGUUCGGGAGAGGAUGGUGGAAUUCCCAGUGUAGAGGUGAAAUUCGUAGAUAUUGGGAAGAACACCGAUGGCGAAGGCAGCCAUCUGGACCGACACUGACGCUGAGGCGCGAAAGCGUGGGGAGCAAACAGG